GGGCUCGCUUUGGCAGCUCAUAUAUGAAAGUUGGAAUAAGACAGAGAUUAUCAUGGCCUCUGUGCAAGGAUCACAUGCAAGUUUGUGAAGCGUUCCAUAUUUUA